rnacentral:rRNA from 1 species
GUUAUAUGGUCAAGUGAAGAAGCGCAUACGGUGGAUGCCUUGGCAGUCAGAGGCGAUGAAAGACGUGGUAGCCUGCGAAAAGCUUCGGGGAGUCGGCAAACAGACUUUGAUCCGGAGAUGUCUGAAUGGGGGAACCCAGCCAUCAUAAGAUGGUUAUCUUGUACUGAAUACAUAGGUGCAAGAGGCGAACCAGGGGAACUGAAACAUCUAAGUACCCUGAGGAAAAGAAAUCAACCGAGAUUCCCUUAGUAGUGGCGAGCGAACGGGGACUAGCCCUUAAGUGGCUUUGAGAUUAGCGGAACGCUCUGGAAAGUGCGGCCAUAGUGGGUGAUAGCCCUGUACGCGAAAAUCUCUUAGUCAUGAAAUCGAGUAGGACGGAGCACGAGAAACUUUGUCUGAAUAUGGGGGGACCAUCCUCCAAGGCUAAAUACUACUGACUGACCGAUAGUGAACUAGUACCGUGAGGGAAAGGCGAAAAGAACCCCGGAGAGGGGAGUGAAAUAGAUCCUGAAACCGUAUGCGUACAAGCAGUGGGAGCAGACUUUGUUCUGUGACUGCGUACCUUUUGUAUAAUGGGUCAGCGACUUAUUUUCAGUGGCGAGCUUAACCGAAUAGGGGAGGCGUAGCGAAAGCGAGUCUUAAUAGGGCGUCUAGUCGCUGGGAAUAGACCCGAAACCGGGCGAUCUAUCCAUGGGCAGGUUGAAGGUUAGGUAACACUGACUGGAGGACCGAACCGACUACCGUUGAAAAGUUAGCGGAUGACCUGUGGAUCGGAGUGAAAGGCUAAUCAAGCUCGGAGAUAGCUGGUUCUCCUCGAAAGCUAUUUAGGUAGCGCCUCAUGUAUCACUGUAGGGGGUAGAGCACUGUUUCGGCUAGGGGGUCAUCCCGACUUACCAAACCGAUGCAAACUCCGAAUACCUACAAGUGCCGAGCAUGGG